UCACAACAAGUUCAGCUUACACAAAAGGUGUACUUCAAAUAUACAUCUUUUAAACUAUAUUCAUAGAAUACUUCCAUAACCAACACCAGCAUUUGUACAUCGCUCAACAUAAAUUGCAGUGUAGCACUUUAGUUCUGAAUCACACUACUAGUAUUGGGCUACUUUGUAUAAAAGGAGAACUACAAAGGAGAGAAUGCCAUAGAACUUCAGAUACAGUCAGCAAACUGGAUGUGAAUGUUCUGCAAAAGCCCGCCUUUUCGCCAGUUCUCCAUGACAGAAUUCUUCAGAAGGCUGCAUGUUCUGUGACAGGUUCAAGAAGUUGCAAAAGCAGAAUGAUAAUUAUCACAUCAAACAUGGCAAUAGAUAAUUCAAUCAGUUUGGUUCCUGUAUUCUUUAAUAUUAAAUAUAACA